CUUUGGUUUUCUGUGAUUUUCAGCUAAGGAAGCGAAAAUGAGGAACCGUUUUCCCAAACGGCUCAUCCAAACUUCAUCUUCUUCUUCGUAUCGUUUCCUACACUCUUCUCGAAGCAACAAGGUUUCAGCUCGUGCGAUUGAGGAGGAAGGUGAAAGUGAAACAGUUGCAUCUCUGAGGAUAUUAAAUCAAGAAGAAAAAAAGGAAAGAAGUUGGCUGAUGCAGGCUCCAUGAAUCAGUGGUUGUGAGUCUUAUCUUCUUCAGAGGCAGUGUUCAAGAACCAUGUGCAAUCAUCAGCAAAAAAUAAAAAGAAAACCUCGGGUUUUCUUACGGAACUAAUUGGGGUCUGGCUGGAAAAGGUGUCAUUGUGAAGGAUAAAGCUUUCCAAAACUUGAAGUCAUCUGAAUUGCAACAAAAUGGUGCAACCAUUGCAGAAUCCUUGUCAGGGCUUCCAGUUCAUGUUAGAGGAACUCUUGGGGGAACUUCAACAAUUUCAAAGGCACAAUAUAGUAAACUUUUGAAGCAGGAUCUGAUGCUAAAGUUCGUAUGAUUAGUGACAGUCCAUCUGCUGUAUUGACACUUUCAAAUGUUCUUUGGGAGACCCCUAUUCGUGCUGUCGCCCAUGAUUCAUGUCCUUUAACAGUCUAUGCUGCUACAUCAAUAAGUACAGCUGUCGGGGAUGUCAUUGAGCUUGGAACUUAUGGAAAUAAUGGAUUUAUUGCUGCUGAUGUUGAGUGAUCUUCGCUUAUUUUGUGUGGUAAAGCAUUUGCUGAUAUAAAUGGAACUAAAUUAGCAUUAGCUGCUUUAUCUGAGCCGGUUAUAUCUGCACGUGCAGGCCUUCCGCUAUCUGCUAGGUUGGAAAUUUCAGGCUCAUAGUAUCUGGUGAUUCUGUGGUUCUUUUGAUUGCUUCAGAGAAUGUCAUUCAGAGUUGUGCAGAUCUGUUGGUAUCUGCAAAUACCAGUGUCGUCUUUUCUUCUUGAGGCGUUGCACCCUUGUUUUGAACCAAAAAAUACAAUGGCAUAAAUAUAUACAAGAUACCAUCUUCCAUCAUCCUUGCAACAUUUGAUAGGUAAGCGACAUGUUCAGUUUGUUUCAACAAUCAUAUGCAAUAUUGCAGUGCAACCUGAUGUCCCCCCUGGUAUCCGUGUCUUCUUUCCUUUGCAUCAUUCAUGAAAUGUGCUAUGCUAGCAAGAGUGAUCUUUCAAAGUCGAACAUUAAAUAAUUGUUCAAGAGUUUGUUGAAUUUAGUGGCUGGUUAUCUCGCAUAUCCACUUGUCUUGGAACAUGUGAAACCACAGAGUGCUAGUUCUUUAUCCAAGUAAGAAGUUAACAUUUUUAAUUUAAAGGAAAAUCCAUAUUACUGUGUGCACUUUUGAUUCUUGCAGAUAUCUUCCAUAAACAUUCUCAUGUUGCUUAUCCUUCCUCUGAGAUAUAAAUUAAGUACUGCACCCCAAACACCAAAUAAAACCAUAAAGAAAUUGAUAAAUGCAAAAAAUCCCUCAUGUUUCUCUUCUUUAGACAUCACUCAAAACUAGCAACUGAAAGUGCCUAGAAUGUAUUGACUUCAGCGGCUUUCCUCCAACAUUGCUUAUACUUGUACUUCUUUCUCCUGAUAGUUCCAUGGAAAUUUUUUAUAUUGUAUGGUCGAAAGGUUGUAUUUUCAACUUUCUUAGUGGUUCACUGAAUGGGCUUCGAAGGGCAGACUAAUUAUUGAAAGUGAUUCAAAGAUAGCAGUGGAUUGGAUAAAAGAUCAAGCUAUAGCCCCUGCUUUUCUGUCAAAUUUUGUCAAGGAAAUUGCUUCUACUGUUUCUACUGAACAGGUUAUUGUUAGGUGGAUUCCUAGAUGGUGUAACUCUGAGGCUGAUAAGCUAGCAAAGGAAGGAAUUGGGUGAUUAAUAACGUUGUUUUGGUUGGUUUGUAAGUCUUACAGGAAAGGUCCUAUAGGAGUGUUUUAUGUUUUAUGUAGUUUGCAAGACUGUUUUUAAGUCUUAUGUAACUGGCUUAUUAUCAAUAAAUUAAUGCACUCUUGUCCUCCUUCCGCUAGUUGGUUCUAGCCUUAGGGCAGAGAACUACUAUGAGGGAGGUUUUUAAUGAGGCAUUCUAUUCCUAUCAAAAAAAAAAAUCCUGAAUAAUCCGAGAAACCAUACUCAAAUUGAUAUAUUUAGCAUGUUUUUCCUGCAUAUAUUGACCUUGUUACAAGAGUGGAUUUUUCCCUCUGCACUUCUGGUGGUAUCCCCUCUGUAUCAGAACUCUCUCCGGGUCAAGCUGCUUAUCACUUUUUGGCUGGCUAUCAAAAUGGGGAGUUCGUGCCUGCUUAUGCUAAAGGCCCUACCUCUAUUGGUGCAUUAGAUAUUGCAAAGGCCCUUCUCUAAGUUGAAAGAGCACCUGAUACCGACCUUCCUUGCCAAUGUUGGUCAUGGAGGAAAGAAUGUUACAGGUGGAGACCUUAAAAGGAAAUAUGAAGGCUUUUGUCAGGAUUUGGGAGCAAGGAUAAGUAAGGAGAAUUGUCGUGACAUGCUAGGAAUGCUGAGCAGAAUGUAAAUGCCAACUCGGACGACAUUUCGAAAGCGAAAAA